UGAUCCUACGGGAGGCAGCAGUAGGGAAUCUUCCACAAUGGACGAAAGUCUGAUGGAGCGACGCCGCGUGAGUGAAGAAGUAUUUCGGUAUGUAAAGCUCUAUCAGCAGGGAAGAAGAAAGACGGUACCUGACUAAGAAGCCCCGGCUAACUACGUGCCAGCAGCCGCGGUAAUACGUAGGGGGCAAGCGUUAUCCGGAUUUACUGGGUGUAAAGGGAGCGUAGACGGCUGUGCAAGUCUGAAGUGAAAGCCCAGGGCUCAACCCUGGGACUGCUUGGGAAACUGUGGAGCUAGAGUGCUGGAGG
rnacentral:rRNA from 1 species